CACGGGGGGAGCAAGCGUUGUUCGGAAUCACUGGGCGUAAAGGGCGUGUAGGCGGUUCGGUAAGUGAGAUGUGAAAUCCUCCGGCUCACCCGGAGACCUGCAUCUCAAACUGCCGGACUAGAGUAUGGGAGAGGACAAGGGAAUUCCUGGUGUAGCGGUGAAAUGCGUAGAUAUCAGGAGGAACACCGGUGGCGAAAGCGGCGUCCUGGACCAACACUGACACUGAUGAGCGAAAGCCAGGGGAGCAAACGGG
rnacentral:rRNA from 1 species